rnacentral:rRNA from 1 species
UCGCGAAAACUUUGCAAUACACGAAAGUGUGACAGGGUCAUCCCGAGUGCCGACCGCUGAGGUUGGCUUUUACCCAGUCUAGAAAGCUGGGGGAAUAAGGAGAGGGCAAGUCUGGUGUCAGCCGCCGCGGUAAUACCAGCUCUCCGAGUGGUGUGGACGUUUAUUGGGCCUAAAGCAUCCGUAGCUGGCUGAACAAGUCCCCUGUUAAACCCACCGAUUUAAUCGUUGGUCUGCGGGGGAUACUGCUCGGCUAGGGGACGAGAGAGGCAGACGGUAUUCCCGGGGUAGGGGUGAAAUCCUAUAAUCCCGAGAAGACCACCAGUGGCGAAGGCUGUCUGCUAGAACGCGCCCGACGGUGAGGGAUGAAAGCUGGGGGAGCGAACCGGAUUAGAUACCCGGGUAGUCCCAGCUGUAAACGAUGCAGACUAGGUGUUUGGACGGCCACGUGCCGUUCUAGUGCCGCAGGGAAGCUGUUAAGUCUGCCGCCUGGGGAGUACGAUCGCAAGAUUGAAACUUAAAGGAAUUGGCGGGGGAGCAACCG